AUCGAACGCUGGCGGCAGGCCUAACCCAUGCAAGACGGGCGAGAGGCGGACGGGUGAGGAAUGUAUGGGGACUUGCCUGCUGGCGGGGGAUAACUAAUGGAAACGGUAGCUAAUACCGCAUACCAUCAGAUGAACCCAUAUGGGAUUAGCUUGUAGGUGAGGUAACGGCGCACCUAGGCGACGAUCCCUAGCUGGUCUGAGAGGAUGAUCAGCCACACUGGGACGGAGACACGGCCCAGACUCCUACGGGAGGAAGCAGUGGGGAAUAUUGCACAAUGGGCGCAAGCCGGAUGCAGCCAGGCCGCGUGUAUGAAGAAGGCCUUCGGGUUGUAAAGUACUGUCAGUCGGGAGGCGUUACCGACAGAAGAAGCACCGGCUAACUCCGUGCCAGCAGCCGCGGUAAUAC
rnacentral:rRNA from 1 species